UACGUAGGGUGCGAGCGUUGUUCGGAAUUACUGGGCGUAAAGGGCUCGUAGGCGGCCAACUAAGUCAGACGUGAAAUCCCUCAGCUUAACUGGGGAACUGCGUCUGAUACUGGAUGGCUUGGAUUCGGGAGAGGAAUGCGGAAUUCCAGGUGUAGCGGUGAAAUGCGUAGAUAUCGGGAGGAACACCAGUGGCGAAGGCGGUGCUCUGGGCUGGAACUGACGCUGAUGGACGAAAGCGUGGGGAGCGAACAGG
rnacentral:rRNA from 1 species